AGAAUCUCGCGGGAGUUGAACAGCCCGGUGAGGUGGCAGAGACCAAGCGCCAUUCCCUGCCGGGCAGACUAGUCAACCACCGAAUGUGUGCGGGGGGAAAAACAACUUAGACCGCUGGAGCCCCAAAUGGCUGUGCAGAGAGUGCUCCAGUGUACGUAAACUACCAGACGAUUACGCCCCUGGUACAGUGAUGGAGAGAACAUGCCAAGGACAUACAUGCCUGGACGGAUAUGGACAAUGCGAGGAGCAGGUGUCCCCUAUUAAGAUUAUGAGAAAUGUUGGCACCUAUGCACAACAAAACUGGCAAGAGGUAAACUAUUUCAUCCCAUCGGGCUGCAAGUGCACCGUCAAGCCGGGUACAGCUUUUGACAAAUUUAUUCCUUAAAUCAUCAUAGCACGAUC